ensembl:lncRNA
CAAUUGGGCAGGAAGUGGGACAGGAAGUGGGGGGACAGGAAGUGGGGGUUGGGCAGAAAAUGGGGGAUAGGAAAUGGAGGUGGUUGGGCAGAAAGUGGGGGAUAUGAAGUGGGGGUGGUUGGGCUGGAAAUGGGGUGACAGGAGGUGGGAGCAAUUGGGCAGGAAUUGGGACAGGAAGUUGGGGACAGAAAGUGAGGACAGUUGGGCAGGAAGUGGGAGAUAGGAAGUGGGGGCAGUGGAGCAGGAAGUGGGGAGCAAAGAAUAGAGGGGGAUUAAAGGGAGAGGAGGGCCAGAACUCUGGAGGCCCUUGAAGGCUGUAAUGGAAAGAAGCCUAGACUCUGUCAGUUGGGCUUGGAGUAGGUUACUGUCUCACUGCCGGCCUAAUCGCCCACCAGCCUGCCGGAGCGACCCGGAGGGCUUACUGGCCACGAGCUGGGAACUGGGUUCCGGCAUGGUUCACCCAUCACAGGACAGAUGGCGCCACGUGCUUGGCAGGCAUCCUCGAGGGCGGGCCAUUGACCUCCAGGCUCCCAGUGUGCGGCUUACCCCUCUCAGCCACCCGCCCACCCUCCUCGGCCUGCAGGCAGGAUGCCAGCUUCAGUUUCCAGAGAAGCUGUUGCUUUGUGGAAAUUCUAAGAUUCUCAAGAUGUGCACGCGGCAUUGGGAGUCAUUCGAUCACCGCGGCCAUCGUUACGUGUUUCUCCACAAUCGGCUGUCUGAUGAGCUGCCAGACUUAAACCAUUUGGGUUUCCAGUGCUGAUUUUGGACCUGGAGCAAGUUUCUGUCCAGAGGAUUUGCUCCAAAUGCUGCUUCCUCCACGUUGCUUGCCGAGAAGGCAUCCUGGGCUGUGGGUGCCCCGUGCUGGGCCAGGGGCGGUGUGAGGGAGGUCGUCCUGGAGCCUCUGCUGCCCUGGGCAGGUGAGCAGGACCAGAGUGUCGAUGAUGGCUGUGCACAGGCCGGACAGAGUGGCUCAUGGCAACAGCCCUGGGGCCCCAGGCGGGCGGCAGGGUGGGUGUGCCCAAAGUGCGGCUCGACCCCAGCGUCCUCCAGAUGGAGGCCCCUGCCCUCAUGGGCGGGCGUGCUGAGGCUCCACGCGGUGUACCCUCGGCCAAAACAUCUCCCCAGCCCCUUUGGACAUCAAUUAGGUCAGUCUAGGUGGUUCCCCACUUCUCACGCACUGCUGACAUCUCAGAGUGGGUGAGAUCCCGGGUGUUCCGCAUAGAAAAAGCAAAUGGGACGACGUAGAAUUUUCCAGUUGUCCUUGAGGUUUCUCUCCAAAUGUGCUCUCCCCACAAAGGGCCAGGUGCCUCUCUGUGUCGGCUUGUUGGAUACGUGAGUGGUGUGGGUGUGAAGGGGUCACCACCGUCAGCCGGGUGCCUGUGUCAACAGGCGUAGGGACCCAGCGUCAGCGCGGGCUACCACAGUGGAACACCAACGGGAUACUUGAACACACACACUCCCUUCUGGUCACGGGGCCUGGGAGGGAGUCUGAGACUGAAGGGCAGGAGGGUUCAAGCUGAGGCCUCCGUCCCCGCGGCCUCGUUUCCAAUGGAUCAUCCAUGCCUAAGACAGCAGUGCUCCGGCUUCCUUCUUGCAGCUCCCCCCACAUGUUCAGCUGGAGAUCACCCGCAGAUGCACGAACACGUGGGUGUGUGGGCGUCUCAGGGUUGGAUGUCAUGCCCUGUCCCACACCCACGGCUUCACCUGGCUUAUCUUGAGUCCACCCCGUUUCAGUGACCUGGCCUUGCCUCCGUCCCUCC